rnacentral:rRNA from 1 species
UACGUAGGCAGCGAGCGUUGUUCGGAGUUACUGGGCGUAAAGGGUGUGUAGGCGGUUCUUUAAGUUUGGUGUGAAAUCUCCCGGCUCAACUGGGAGGGUGCGCCGAAUACUGAGGGACUAGAGUGCGGGAGAGGAAAGUGGAAUUCCGUGGUGUAGGCGGUAGAAAUGCGUAGAUAUCAGGAGGAACACCGGUGGUGUAGACGGCUUCUGGACCGUAACUGACGCUGAGACACGAAAGCGUGGGUAGCAAACAGG